rnacentral:rRNA from 1 species
UACGGAGGAUGCGAGCGUUAUCCGGAUUUAUUGGGUUUAAAGGGUGCGCAGGCGGUCUGUUAAGUCAGCGGUCAAAGCCCGGGGCUCAACCCCGGCCCGCCGUUGAAACUGGCAGUCUCGAGUUGGAGAGAAGUAUGCGGAAUGCGCGGUGUAGCGGUGAAAUGCAUAGAUAUCGCGCAGAACUCCGAUUGCGAAGGCAGCAUGCCGGCUCCACACUGACGCUGAGGCACGAAAGCGUGGGUAGUCGAACAGGA